UACGGAGGAUGCAAGCGUUAUCCGGAAUGAUUGGGCGUAAAGCGUCCGCAGGUGGCACUUCAAGUCUGCUGUUAAAUACUAGGGCUCAACCUUGGAGCGGCAGUGGAAACUGAAGAGCUAGAGUUCGGUAGGGGUAGAUGGAAUUCCCAGUGUAGCGGUGAAAUGCGUAUAGAUUGGGAAGAACACCGGUGGCGAAAGCGCUCUGCUAGGCCGAAACUGACGCUCAUGGACGAAAGCGUGGGGAGCGAAUAGG
rnacentral:rRNA from 1 species